GAAAACAUUGUGGUCUAGAUUUCAGUCAUGGAGAAUUUUACAGAAAAACAGUUUUGAUUAUUCUGUUAGUGGAUAGUAAAGAUUUGCCAUAGCUUUCUACUAAAUGUUAGGAAUGAGUUUAGUUUACCCAUUAAUGAUCCUUUGCCCAUUAACACCUGAGCUGUAUUUACUUAUUUUAUGAAACUGUGCUGUUCAGACCCCUUUAACAUAGCUAUUACAGUGUUAAUGAGCUAAAAAAAGAUUUUUAAACACUUAAAUCUGGGUAAAACAAAAAUGAAACCCUAACAUUCCUCUGCAGGGUUUUACUGUUGAGGUGUAAACUCGGCGUGUUGCAGUACACUGUUGUAAGGCCCGUCACAACAGUGAUUGCUUUAAUCUGUCAGCUGUGCAACGUGUACGAUGAGGGCAAUUUCAGUUCUGCAAAUGCAUGGACGUACCUGGUCAUCAUUAACAAUAUGUCACAGCUGUUUGCCAUGUACUGCCUUGUGCUGUUCUACAGAGCUCUGAAGGAUGAGCUGAAGCCCAUCAAACCUGUGGGGAAGUUCCUGUGUGUCAAAAUGGUGGUGUUCGUCUCUUUCUGGUAAAUCUAAGCUUCUGUGGAGAUUUUGAAAAAACA